GAGAUGGUAUGCUAGAACAUGAGGGGACUGAAUAGCCCUGCUAGGAAGAAUGCCCUUAGAGAAUUUGUCGAGUCCGUUCGGGUCACUAUCAUUUGUAUCUUUGAAACUAAGCUGGAGUCGGUGGAUCAAUUUGUAAUUAUGCAAUGUGUUGGGCCAGCCUAUGAUGGCUUUCUUUACCUGCCAGCCUCGGACACGCGUGGUGGAAUUUUUGUGGCGUGGGAUUCCACGAAGAUGCAGUUGACUAACUUCGCCAAUGACACAAACUUCACUAGUGGCUAUGUGUCCCCGUUGGAGGGGCCGCCCUGGUGGCUCACGGUGGUUUAUGGACCACAAGAAGAUGCUCAUAAGAUCAGGUUUCUAGAGGAACUAGCGGCAAGGCGACAACUCUGUCCUAGACCCUAG
rnacentral:rRNA from 1 species